CAGUGGGGAAUAUUGCACAAUGGGGGAAACCCUGAUGCAGCGACGCCGCGUGAAGGAAGAAGUAUCUCGGUAUGUAAACUUCUAUCAGCAGGGAAGAAAAUGACGGUACCUGACUAAGAAGCCCCGGCUAACUACGUGCCAGCAGCCGCGGUAAUACGUAGGGGGCAAGCGUUAUCCGGAUUUACUGGGUGUAAAGGGAGCGUAGACGGAAGAGCAAGUCUGAUGUGAAAGGCUGGGGCUUAACCCCAGGACUGCAUUGGAAACUGUUUUUCUAGAGUGCCGGAGAGGUAAACGGAAUUCCUAGUGUAGCGGUGAAAUGCGUAGAUAUUAGGAGGAACACCAGUGGCGAAGGCGGCUUACUGGACGGUAACUGACGUUGAGGCUCGAAAGCGUGGGGAACAAACAGGAUUAGAUACCCUGGUAGUC
rnacentral:rRNA from 1 species